rnacentral:misc_RNA from 1 species
UAUAAACUGUGUUGUUGUGCUGCCGUCCGUCCAAACAACUUGGUUGUGCCAUAUCGAUACAGCUCCAUCGCCGUUGCAGGGGCGGAAAGGGAAGAAAUGGCCGCACGCCGCCGGCGCCUCUCGGUGCUUGUCACCAUGCUCGCCGUCGCCGCGCCUGUAUGCCUGUACACCUCUGCCAUCCUCGUGAUCCUGGAGCUUGGCUGGGGAGACCCAGCAGACAGCAUCCUCAUCACCGGCAACUACCGCCUCGGCAGCGGCGUCGAGGGUGUCGCCAACAAACUUUGGGAGACGGCGAAACAGAGGGUGGCAUAUGUCGUGGUGGCUCGUCGAAGAUCGCACUCAGGCGGCGCUGAAGCUGCGCGAGUUCUGAUGGAAAGCCGGCGUCUUGGAAGCCGGCGGGGACGACCGGCGGCCAUUUCGGCCUCAUCACCACGCUGACGUCCCGCACGAGCCGUGUUGUGCGGCGGCUCGAUCCGGUGACUGGGACUGCGUGCGAGGCCCUGCUCUCCGAUCCUCCGGUACGGUUCCGGCUGCGAUCGAGCAAGAAGACUUUUGCAUGCCUUCCCAGAGACUUCCAGUGAUUAUUAUGUUGCGGUACGUUAGUUUACAGUUUAAUUACCUGAAGAACCUCUCGGUCGAUCCACGCUAUUACUAGCUUUGUUUGUGCCUUGAGAGUUCAAAGGCACAGUCCGGAGUCCCCGGUAAUUAACCGAUGUCACUGAUGAUCGGAUCGUUGCAUAAGAUGGGAGGGAUUGUAAAUAAGAGUCAAUCUGUUGUUUUAAAAGAGAGGAAUAUUAAGAAAAGAAAAA